ensembl:lncRNA
GUCUGUUUGACAAUAACAGCUGGUGCGCAAAAUGUAAUAUUAAGGAAGUCUCAAGGUUUUGCUAGCCUGAGGUAGAGUAUCUCAAGAUAAGCUGUAGACCACACUAUUUACCAAGAGAGUUUUCAUCUAUAUUUUUCGUAGCUGUCCAUUUACCACCACAAACCGAUGCUGGAACUAAGACGGUACUCAAUGAGCUGUAAAAAGCCAUAAGCAAACAAGAAAAUGUUCAUCCAGAGGCGGCGCUCCUAGUGGCCGGGGACAUUAAUGCAGGGAAACUUAAAUCCGUUUGACCUCAUUUCUUCCAGCAUGUUACAUGUGCAACAAGAGGAGAAAAAAAACUCUAGACCACCUUUACUCCACACUUACAAAGCUCUCCCUGCGUACAAAGCUCUCCCUCACCCUCCAUUUGGAAAAUCUGACCAUAAUUAUAUCCUCCAUAUUCCUGCUUACAAGCAAAAACUAAAGCAGGAAGUACCAGUGACUCAAUCAAUACAGAAGUGGUCAGAUGACACAGAUGCUAAGCUACAGGGCUGUUUUACUAGCAUAGACUGGAAUAUGUUCACAUAACACAUCUGCCACGCUGAUCCUCAACACGGGGGCCCUCAGGGGUAUGUGUUUAGUCCCCUCCUGUACUCCCUGUUCACCUACGACUGCGUGGCCUAGCACAAGUUUUCCGACAACACAAAGGUGGUAGGCCUGAUCACCGACAUAGAUGAGACAACCUAUAGGGACCUAUAGGGAGGAGGUCAGAGACCUGGAAGUGUGGUGCCAGGACAACAACCUCUCCCUCAACGCGAUCAAGACAAAGGAGAUGAUUGUGGACUACUGGAAAAGGAGGGCCAAGCACACCCCCAUUCUCAUCGACGGGGCUGUAGUGGAGCAAGUUCCUCAGUGUUCACAUCACCAACAAACUAUCAUGGUCCAAACGAGGUUUGGAAACACUUCCGGCUUCAAAUCCUCUCCUGAUGCCAUUACCUACAAAGAGAAGGAGAAUCUUAUCAUCAGUGCUGUAGAGUUUGAAGAAGCUGGGCUUCCUUAAGCCACAGGCAAAGAGAUUGACAUGCUUUUGGAGCAGCAGGACCAAUUCCAUGAUGCCUCAGGUGUUGAUAAACCUCCUUACCCAGAAACUCCUCUACAGCUCCCCCUCUGGCUGUGAGUAUUAUAGCUCCUCUCUACAGCGCCCCCUCUGGAUGUGAGUACUAUAGCUCCUCUCUACAGCACCCAAUCUGAAUGUGAGUAUUAUAGCUCCUCUACAGCGCCCCCUCUGGCUGUGAGUAUUAUAGCUCCUCUCUACAGCACCCAAUCUGAAUGUGAGUAUUAAAUCAAAUCAAAUCAAAUCAAAUUUUAUUUGUCACAUACACAUGGUUAGCAGAUGUUAAUGCGAGUGUAGCGAAAUGCUUGUGCUUCUAGUUCCGACAAUGCAGUAAUAACGAACAAGUAAUCUAACUAACAAUUCCAAAAAAACUACUGUCUUAUACACAGUGUAAGGGGAUAAAGAAUAUGUACAUAAGGAUAUAUGAAUGAGUGAUGG